CUAUUUUCACUUUCUUGUCGUCGCUAGCAUAGAUGUAUCUUUCACCAUCACUUGGUUUUCGACAACCCUGUAUAGAUAUACUGAUGUGAGUUGUUGCACCAGAAACUAUGUACCAUGUAUGUUUAGGUACCGAAGUUAAAUUAAUCUCAGAACAAACCAAAUGAAGAAGAAUACAUUUCUUUACACGUCAUGCGUGGUAAUUGGUGUAAUUCUUCUUCUUAUGACCUGCAACUCCACAAAAGAAACAACCACCCUCAGUUGGUUCCUUAUGUUGUUUCUUUUGUGAUGUUGUACCCGCAACUUCCUUAUUAAUCUUCCUUUUCUUGUUCUUUUUGUCCUUAGAGGUGGUGGCUAAAUCAGCACUUUUUGUCUUCUCAUGCUUCAAUCCUUUCUCUUCCUGAAAACAGUGUGAGAUGAGCUCAUUAAGGGAUCAUGAGUCAUUUUGAUAGUUGUAGCUCACCUUGAAUUGACUGAAAUGUGUCGGAAGGGAUAUUAGAACCAAGUGCACCAACAAGUCUUCAAAUAAAUCCAACUUGAGUGCCUUUAGUUUUGAAGCAAUGUGAAACAUUUCCAUAAUGUAUUCCCGAAUGUUUUC
rnacentral:lncRNA from 1 species